rnacentral:rRNA from 1 species
CCUACGGGGGGCUGCAGUAAGGAAUAUUGGACAAUGGCCGCAAGGCUGAUCCAGCCAUGCCGCGUGCAGGAUGACGGGCUCUGCAUUGUAAACUGCUUUUGUUCGGGAAUAUGUACCGAAAGAAUAAGGGACGGCUAACUUCGUGCCAGCAGCCGCGGUAAUACGAAGGUCCCAAGCGUUAUCCGGAUUUAUUGGGUUUAAAGGGUGCGUAGGCGGGUUAUUAAGUCAGUGGUGAAAGCUCCCAGCUCAACUGGGAAACUGCCAUUGAUACUGAUAGUCUUGAGUAUGAUUGAAGUGGGCGGAAUGUGUCAUGUAGCGGUGAAAUGCUUAGAUAUGACACAGAACACCGAUUGCGAAGGCAGCUCACUAACCUAACUGACGCUGAUGCACGAAAGCGUGGGGAGCAAACAGGAUUAGAUACCCUUGUAGUC